AGGAAUUUUAGGUUUUUAUAUUGAGAAAACUCAAUAACUAGGAGAUCUAUGAAUGUGAAAAUUUUUUAAGCACUCUAUCCCUUGUGGUUCUAGACAAGAGUAAUAAUAACCCUCAAUGGUGUCUAACAGAGAAUGGAUCUUUUUACGGUCAGAUCAUUAUAUAAGUAGUUGUUCAAACAUGAAAACAAUGGUACUAGAUUCCUGAUCAAACAAAUUUUAGCAGGUUAAAGUUCCACCCUGUGGUUAGGAUCUACUUUUGACAUGUAUUUCACCAGUACUAAACUUUAAUAAAAAAAAUUAAUUUAUAAAUAAUUAUGGUAGAAAUUUAGACAGAAAAGUAAUUUUGAAUGAGAAAAUUAUAAAAUAUGGGGAAAGAAUCUGGAAAUAAUAAAUAGUAAAGACAAAAAAGAAAAUUAGUGAAAGAACGAGAAAGAGAGCAAGAGAGAGAAAGAU
rnacentral:lncRNA from 1 species